AUGAUUAAUUAAAUAGCCGCGGUAUAUUAACUGUGCAAAGGUAGCAUAAUAAUUAGUCUUUUAAUUGAGGUCUAGAAUGAAUGGUUAGACGAAAAAUAAACUUUAUUAAAAUUAAUUUUUAUAAUUUAAUUUUUAGGUUAAAAAGCUUAAAUUUUUGGAAGGGACGAUAAGACCCUAUAGAUCUUAAAAAUUAUUUAAUAUUUUUUUUUUUGGUUGUUUUAUAAUUUUUUUAAUAUAUUUUUUGGCUGGGGUGGUAUUUAAAAAUUUUAUCUUUAGUUUUAUUUUACAUUUUUAAAUGUUUUUUUUGAAUACAAUUUUUUUUGGUUGAAUGAAAAAGAUACCUUAGGGAUAACAGCGUUAUUUAUUUGGAUAGUUCAGAUUGAAUAAUAAGUUUGCGACCUCGAUGUUGGAUUAAAAUUUUUUUGUGGGGUAGGUUUUACAAUAAUAGGUCUGUUCAACCUUUAAAAUUUUACGUGAUCUGAGUUCA
rnacentral:rRNA from 1 species